AUUGAACGCUGGCGGCAGGCUUAACACAUGCAAGUCGAGCGGAGAUGAGGUGCUUGCACCUUAUCUUAGCGGCGGACGGGUGAGUAAUGCUUAGGAAUCUGCCUAUUAGUGGGGGACAACAUUCCGAAAGGAAUGCUAAUACCGCAUACGUCAUACGGGAAAAAGCAGGGGAGCUUCGGACCCGGCGCUAAUAGAUGAGCCUAAGGCGGAUUAGCUAGUUGGUGGGGUAAAGGCCUACCAAGGCGACGAUCGGUAGCGGGUCUGAGAGGAUGAUCCGCCACACUGGGACUGAGACACGGCCCAGACUCCUACGGGAGGCAGCAGUGGGGAAUAUUGGACAAUGGGGGGAACCCUGAUCCAGCCAUGCCGCGUGUGUGAAGAAGGCCUUAAGGUUGUAAAGCACUUUAAGCGAGGAGGAGGCUACUAAGACUAAUACUCUUGGAUAGUGGACGUUACUCGCAGAAUAAGCACCGGCUAACUCUGUGCCAGCCGCCGCCGUAAGAC
rnacentral:rRNA from 1 species